GGCUGCUUUGUUGAGCCGU
rnacentral:sRNA from 1 species